rnacentral:rRNA from 1 species
AAUGAACGCUGGCGGCAGGCCUAACACAUGCAAGUCGAACGGAUCCUUCGGGAUUAGUGGCGGACGGGUGAGUAACGCGUGGGAACAUACCCUUUGGUACGGAAUAGCCCCGGGAAACUGGGAGUAAUACCGUAUGUGGUCGAGAGACGAAAGAUUUAUCGCCAAAGGAUUGGCCCGCGUUGGAUUAGGUAGUUGGUGGGGUAAUGGCCUACCAAGCCGACGAUCCAUAGCUGGUUUGGGAGGAUGAUCAGCCACACUGGGACUGAGACACGGCCGAGACGCUUACGCGAGGCGGCGGGGGGGAAUCAUAGACUAUGGGGGAAACCCUGAUCUGGGCAUGCCGCGUGAUCGAGGAAGGCCUUAGGGUUGUACAGCUCUUUCAGGUGGGAAGGUAGUGACGGUACCACCAGAAGAAGCCCCGGCUAACUCCGUGCCAUCAGCCUCUGUAU